CCUACGGGCGGCAGCAGUGGGGAAUAUUGGACAAUGGGCGAAAGCCUGAUCCAGCCAUGCCGCGUGUGUGAAGAAGGCCUUCGGGUUGUAAAGCACUUUCAGUGGGGAAGAAAGCCUUGGGGCUAAUACCCUCGAGGAAGGACAUCACCCACAGAAGAAGCACCGGCUAACUCCGUGCCAGCAGCCGCGGUAAUACGGAGGGUGCGAGCGUUAAUCGGAAUUACUGGGCGUAAAGCGCGCGUAGGCGGUCUGAUAAGCCGGUUGUGAAAGCCCCGGGCUCAACCUGGGAACGGCAUCCGGAACUGUCAGGCUAGAGUGCAGGAGAGGAAGGUAGAAUUCCCGGUGUAGCGGUGAAAUGCGUAGAGAUCGGGAGGAAUACCAGUGGCGAAGGCGACCUUCUGGACUGACACUGACGCUGAGGUGCGAAAGCGUGGGUAGCAAACAGGAUUAGAUACCCCAGUAGUC
rnacentral:rRNA from 1 species